GAUAAAAUGGCUGAGAAUUAGGCAGUAAAUUGUAAAUUUACGGACGAAUAAAGUUAUUCUUUUAUCA
rnacentral:tRNA from 1 species